UACGUAGGGCGCAAGCGUUGUCCGGAAUUACUGGGCGUAAAGAGCUCGUAGGCGGUUUGUCGCGUCUGCUGUGAAAACCUAAGGCUCAACCUUGGGCUUGCAGUGGGUACGGGCAGACUAGAGUGCGGUAGGGGUGACUGGAAUUCCUGGUGUAGCGGUGGAAUGCGCAGAUAUCAGGAGGAACACCGGUGGCGAAGGCGCCGCUCUGGGCCGAAACUGACGCUGAGGAGCGAAAGCGUGGGUAGCAAACAGG
rnacentral:rRNA from 1 species